GGCGACAACACCUUCAAGGCAGCGCCGGCGGAUUUGAGCUGGCUGGGCUCCCCUCUAAGUCGGUGACGCGGAAUUGGCCGAAAGUCCAGGGCUCCGACUUAUGGGGUUUGUGGCUUUGGGGUGCAUCUUGCAGGCUUCGUUUGGCUGUCACCCACCAUCCACCCCCAGCUUUUCUCCCCCUCCUUGUUUACAUGGCAAGAUUGGCCAGAGGGUUAAUGUGUCUCUCCCAAGAUUGCUAAAUUGCUGUCAAGUAUUAGUGUUGGAGCACGCUGACAUAAUUAUCCCACUGUACCCUAUAUAAUUAGCAGAGCUAAGCCCAGGCCGCAUUAAUACCCUGAUUAAUUAUGGCGGGAGGCAUAAACAAGGGUAUUAAUGCUCCGAAAGUACCGGGAUAGCUCUUUGACAGCCCAUAUGCUUGUCUGCAGGACCGCUAGGGAUUGUGGCGAACCGGGAGGAGCUGCGCGGUGCCCUGACUGUAAUGAGAAAUGAGGAAAGUGCUGAAAAAUUGAUGCCGCCUGCAGAUUGCACAAUCCGCUGAACAGCAGGGGGUCGGCUUCUUACAUCUCCUGCUCUCAGUACAAUAUGCUAAUUUCCCCAUGCAGACCGAGUGUUAGAAAAGGGAAAGAAGAAAAGAUUUCACACAAAAAAAAAUAGGGGGGGGGGGAGGAAUGCAAAUGACAACACAAAGAUCACUGCAGAGAAAUCCAUGAGCUUUAUAUGGAUUAAUUGUGUUGGAGCGGCUGCUCUCGCUGGUGUUUAACGCUUUCGGUCCCAGCUCCUGUCUGUGUUUCUCCGUUUUUUGGGGAGGCGAAGGGGGAAGAGUCAAGGCUUCGGUCCAAAGCCACAGGAAUGGAGUGGGAGCUCAUCCGGACCGUUCUGUUCUCUCUCUAAUGGCAUGGCCACGUCCACACAAUAGACUUAAAGCACUAAGAUACCACUGUGGCGAUCACACAGGGUCCCCGGACGUUUCACCGUCUAUUGAUCCCUGUGCCACCACUUUAUUUCUCGCUGCCACC